rnacentral:rRNA from 1 species
CGGCGGACGGGUGAGUAACGCGUGGGUAACCGUGCCUCAUACAGGGGAGUAACAGUUGGAAACGGCUGCUAAUACCGCAUAAGCGCACAGUACCGCAUGGUACGGUGUGAAAAACUCCGGUGGUAUGAGAUGGACCCGCGUCUGGUUAGGUAGUUGGUGGGGUAACGGCCUACCAAGCCGACGAUCAGUAGCCGACCUGAGAGGGUGACCGGCCACAUUGGGACUGAGACACGGCCCAA